AUUGAACGCUGGCGGCAGGCCUAACACAUGCAAGUCGAGCGGAUGAAGGGAGCUUGCUCCUGGAUUCAGCGUCGGACGGGUGAGUAAUGCCUAGGAAUCUGCCUGGUAGUGGGGGAUAACGUCCGGAAACGGGCGCUAAUACCGCAUACGUCCUGAUGGAGAAAGUGGGGGAUCUUCGGACCUCACGCUAUCAGAUGAGCCUAGGUCGGAUUAGCUAGUUGGUGGGUAAAGGCCUACCAAGGCGACGAUCCGUAACUGGUCUGAGAGGAUGAUCAGUCACACUGGAACUGAGACACGGUCCAGACUCCUACGGGAGGCAGCAGUGGGGAAUAUUGGACAAUGGGCAAAAGCCUGAUCCAGCCAUGCCGCGUGUGUGAAGAAGGUCUUCGGAUUGUAAAGCACUUUAAGUUGGGAGGAAGGGCAGUAAGUUAAUACCUUGCUGUUUUGACGUUACCAACAGAAUAAGCACCGGCUAACUUCGUG
rnacentral:rRNA from 1 species